AGAGUGAACGCUGGCGGUAGGCCUAACACAUGCAAGUCGAACGGCAGCACAGUAGGAGCUUGCUCUUACGGGUGGCGAGUGGCGGACGGGUGAGGAAUACAUCGGAAUCUACCUUUUGGUGGGGGAUAACGUAGGGAAACUUACGCUAAUACCGCAUACGCCCUUCGGGGGAAAGCCGGGACCAGCAAUGGCCUGGCGCCGAUAGAUGAGCCGAUGUCGGAUUAGCUAGUGGUGAGGUAUGGCUCACCAAGGCGACGAUCCGUAGCUGGUCUGAGAGGAUGAUC
rnacentral:rRNA from 1 species